rnacentral:rRNA from 1 species
AAUGAACGCUGGCGGCGUGGUUAAGACAUGCAAGUCGAACGGGACUUCGCGGAAGGGCAACCGGAUCGAAGUUCAGUGGCGAACGGGUGCGUAACACGUGAACAAUCUACCUCGAAGUGGGGAAUAGCUCGCCGAAAGGCGAAUUAAUACCGCAUGUGGUCGGGACUCGCAUGAGUCUCGAACUAAAGUCAGGGACCGCAAGGCCUGACGUUUUGAGAGGAGUUCGUCGGCCGUAU